CUUCUCUGCAGAUGAUCCAAGAUUUCCAGAUUUCUUCCUUGUUUCUAUAUGUAAUUCCAUGUGAAGAAAUUUCCAAAAACAAAACUGAAAGUGCUAGGCUUGCUACAGGAAACCUAUUUUAGCGCAUACCUAACACACCCUGUUCCAGGAAAAAAAAAACAGACCAAAAUAAAUUGUUCUAGUCAGUCUGCCUUUAACCUUUAUUAAAGUAAUACAUUAGCAAAUAUUUCAGGCCUGUUUACAGUUGUAUUUCUAUAGUCC